UAUUUGAGAUCUGACCUGCCCAAUGAUUUUAUUUAAUGGCCGCGGUAUAUUGACCGUGCAAAGGUAGCAUAAUCAUUAGUUUAUUAAUUGUGGACUUGUAUGAAUGGUUGGACGAGAUAUUAACUGUCUCACAUUUAUUAAUUGAAUUUAAUUUUUUAGUUAAAAAGCUUAAAUCUUAUUGUAAGACGAGAAGACCCUAUAGAUCUUUAUUUUUAUUAAUUAAUUAUAUUUUAGUAUAUUUUUAUAAUUAUUUUCUAAAUUUUUUGUUGGGGUGACACGGAGAUAUAAUUAACUCUUUAUUUUUUAUACAAUUAUUUUUGAUUUCUUGACCUUUUAUUAUUGUUUUAAGAUAUAGAUACCUUAGGGAUAACAGCGUAAUUUUUUUUGAGAGUUCUUAUCGACAAUAAAGAUUGCGACCUCGAUGUUGGAUUAAGAAUAUUUUAAGGUGUAGGUGCUUUAUAAGUUAGGUCUGUUCGACCUUUAAAUUCUUACGUGAUCUGA
rnacentral:rRNA from 1 species